AUCCCCAAAACCCAAAACACCCUUCCAUUUCACUCAUCUCUCUCAAAAUAUCUAACCCUAGUAACUUUCCUUUCCUAAGCCACCCCUGUCAACGACACAACCCUCAAACACACCCAAACUCUCACCAUACAAUAUUCAACCUCCCCUCACCACUAAUCCACUUACAGAUUUCCCUAAAAAAACUACAAUUCCUCGAUUUUUAGAUCUUAGAUUCAUCAGAACCUAUUUAGCUCCUAUCAUUGACUUUUUCUCUAAGCUUAGCCUUGUGAAUUCAAAAUCAACAUCAGUUGAUUGGUCUUUAUAAGAGCAGUCAAUUGAUAAUAAGUUCAAUUCCCAGUAUGACCGAUGGAUUCCAAAUAGAGGCCUAUUUAGUUUUGUAGGUGCCUUUGUAAACUCAAGACUUGUUGAGGGAUUGGAAAGCCACAGGAGCCCAGAUCAUGUAUCUAUUUUGAAAUCUAGUAUGGUCGUAGCCUUAAUCUAGAAUUUGCUAGAAAAUCUUGUAAUUAAAGUUGAGUUCGAUAAUUUAUAUGAUUCAUUGUUAAUUAUCUUGUAAAUCAAGUUGAGUUGAUAACUUACAUGAUUCAUGAUUAAUUAUUUUGCAAAUCGAAUUAAGUCCAAUAAUCUGUACGAUUCA